rnacentral:tRNA from 1 species
GCUCCGGUAGUUCAGAUGGAUAGAACAGCCCCCUCCUAAGGGGCAGGUCGCAGGUUCAACUCCUGCCCGGGGCACCA